UACGUAGGGUGCGAGCGUUGUCCGGAAUUAUUGGGCGUAAAGGGCGCGUAGGCGGUCUGUCGCGUCGAAAGUGAAAACUCAGGGCUUAACCCUGAGCCUGCUUCCGAUACGGGCAGACUAGAGGUAUGCAGGGGAGAACGGAAUUCCUGGUGUAGCGGUGAAAUGCGCAGAUAUCAGGAGGAACACCGGUGGCGAAGGCGGUUCUCUGGGCAUUACCUGACGCUGAGGAGCGAAAGUGUGGGGAGCGAACAGG
rnacentral:rRNA from 1 species